AGGAGGCAGAUGUUACAGACCCUGUCCUCUUGUGCCUGCCCAACUGCCUCUUGCCUCCCUCCCUGCCACAGUCAAACAGCUGGAGGCAGAGGGGUUGUGAUCGAGAAAGGGGUGAAGAAAAGGCUUCAAGGAGGGUCCAGAGAUUUGUUAAGCCUAGGAGGGAGGCUUUUCAUGUGUCCAAGAAAGGAGGCUGUAGGGGAUGCCGAGCAACUAGAAAAGAAGUUUCCAUAAAAUGGCACCACUGCUCAGAGUACACAGGAUGAAAGGGGACUCAAGAGAUGACAUGUCCGAGGAAUUCGCCUGUGCAUUCCAGGGGCGGCUGACACAAUGGUGGGAGAGGCAGACAAACCCCAGGCAGGGUGCCUGGGGAGGGUAAGGCCUCUGAUUGUAGAGCCCCAGGUGUGGGGGGUGCUGCAGAAAACCAGCUUAUUUGGGCACCUUUGCCUUAAACACCCUGUGUGCAGCACUUCUGCAUCAACACAACAUGUGUAGCACACUGUGGUAACCCAGGGGAUCAGGGUGGGUGGUUGUGAAUUUAUUUAAAGUCCUUUAAAACAGAUUUAGAAGAAAAAGGGGAAAUAUUCUCAUGGAACAGUGAGGUCUCACAACAUUUCACAUUAGCUCAAACCUGAAAGAAUUAGUGAAGCUGUGAGACACAGAAAUUAUCUCAGCAUUUUUACUUUUCUGUACCUAUUGCUAUAGCGAAAGUUAUUUCCUUUCAAGCUCCUGAUUAACCUGUAUGAUGCCAUUGUUUUUGCUAUAAGAGGAACUGGAAAAAAUGUUUGAUAAAUAGAACAGGAGAGACACAGUCCAAAAUUUAUCAUCAAAGAUAUAACUGCAUUGUUGCUGACACUGCAGACUCACUCAGCUAUGGUAUGAUAGUUCAGAGAAGAAAUAGAUGAAGAACAUAGGUACUCUCUGUAUUUUGGAUUAUAGGUAUUGAAAGCAUUGCAGUUAGGAAGAGGUUAAAUCAACAUGGCAGCAUGCUGGUUGUUCCCUGGAAUAAGGUGUUCCUGUCCCCGGCAGCUAUAAUGCAUCAAUAUAAUACUAUGAGAUCAAUAGCUCAGGCCUGCAACUCUAGAUUUAGUUAAGGUGGUAUUUCUAUUAAACACUUUACAAUUAUUAAAGUUCACUGUUGCUGCUCUAAACUCUGAGGCAAACUUCUGCUACUCUGCUAUUUAUAUCAGCUGAACUCUCCAUGACCUGUAGCCUUGCUAACUCCUUUUCAUAUCUUCUAUGUCACUGACAAAAAGCUUUCUUGUUCUAUGAUAGGAAUAACUGUUCUUGGUACAUAUUUUCCCAGUUUACGUAUUUAUCUGUUACUUUAAGGAAAAUCAAAGAAGAUUCCUCUUCUAUUUGUUGUCAUGGGUGCUACUGUGUUUUGUUGUUGUUUUUGCUAACUUGUAAAAUAAGGAAAUAGAAAUCAGUAAGAAGUUUAGGAUUUUUGUAGUCAAUUAACUGGGCAUACAUUUUGGUAGAUAAACCUUGUGUCAAGUUAACUUGUCCAUUUCUUAGCUUGUGUGGCAAGAAAAGACAUGAGAAUAUGAUAACUUUGUUGUGCUAAUUAGCAGUGGUCUUUUCUGUUUAAUAAACUGAGCUGUAUCUGA